rnacentral:rRNA from 1 species
UACAGAGGGGGCAAGCGUUAUUCGGAAUUAUUGGGCGUCAAGGGCGCGUAGUCGGCCUGGCAAGUGGACGGUGAAAUCCCUCGGCUUAACCGAGGAACUGCCCUCCAAACUGCUUGGCUUGAGACCGGGAGAGGUGAGUGGAAUUCCCAGUGUAGCGGUGAAAUGCGUAGAUAUUGGGAGGAACACCAGUGGCGAAGGCGGCUCACUGGACCGGUACUGACGCUGAUGCGCGAAAGCGUGGGGAGCAAACGGG